rnacentral:misc_RNA from 1 species
AAGUCGUAACAAGGUCUCCGUUGGUGAACCAGCGGAGGGAUCAUUACCAAGAGUGCCAUAGGCUCUCCAACCCAUUGUGAACCUACCAAACGUUCCCUCGGCGGGCUCAGCGCGCGGCGGCCUCCGGGCCUCCGGGCGUCCGCCGGGGAAAACCAAACCCUGAUUUAAUCGUGUUUCUCUGAGGGGCGGAAGCCCGAAAGUAAAAUGAAUCAAAACUUUCAACAACGGAUCUCUUGGCUCUG